rnacentral:rRNA from 1 species
UACGUAGGGGGCAAGCGUUGUCCGGAUUUAUUGGGCGUAAAAGGCUUGUAGGUGGCCACGCCAAGUCGGAUGUGAAAUCUCCCGGCUCAACUGGGAGGGGUCAUUCGAUACUGGUGGCUCGAAGCCGGUAGGGGGAAGCGGAAUUCCCGGUGUAGUGGUGGAAUGCGUAGAUAUCGGGAGGAACACCAGUGGCGAAGGCGGCUUCCUGGACCGGUUCUGACACUGAGGAGCGAAAGGCGUGGGGAGCGGAUCCGG